GAGAAUCAUAUAUCUAUACUGAUGAAGAACGCAGCAAAAUGCGUUAU
rnacentral:rRNA from 1 species